GGAGUCGGCCAGGCAGUCGCGUCAUCGGAAACGAUGCCGAGGAAAGUCCGGGCUCCACAGGGCACGGUGCCAGGUAACGCCUGGGCGGCGCGAGCCGACGGAAAGUGCAACAGAAAGAUACCGCCAGCGGUCCUUCGGGAUGCGGGCAAGGGUGAAAUGGUGCGGUAAGAGCGCACCGCGAGCCUGGUAACAGGCCGGCACGGCAAACCCCACCGGGAGCAAGGCCAAAUAGGGACCUCAUGACGUUGCCCGCGUCGGGUCCGGGUAGGCUGCUCGAGCGUAACGGUGACGUUGCGCCUAGAGGAAUGACUGUCCACGACAGAACCCGGCUUACCGGCCGGCUCCGCCA
rnacentral:RNase_P_RNA from 1 species